GGAAACAAACACACUUUAGGCCUACUGCAAGUUCAUUUCUUUGUCACUUUCUACCAGACAAUUUUAACUUGCUCAUCUGUGAUCUGGAUAAAUUGAGUGAUUUUUUUAAUGGUAGUAAUGUCCUUGGGGACCACGGACCUGCAAGUCUGGUCAAGUUUUCUAAAUAGUGUGAAAUCUAGGCUACUUCCUGGGAAUGUGUUUUUUCUCUUUUUCUUUUUGUGAGAGGUGUGUCUACUUGUGAAAUAUUUGUUUGUUGUGUAACCCAUACCUAAGUGACAUUCUAGACCUACGCCCAGUGUGUCCCAUACCUAAGUGACAUUCUAGACCUACGCCCAGUGUGUCCCAUACCUAAGUGACAUUAUAGACCUAUGCCCAGUGUGUCCCAUAUCUAACUGACAUUAUAGACCUAUGCCUAGCGCUUCUAAAAGGGAAAGAAACCAUGUUAAACCAAAGCAGGAUCCUUAUAAAAGGAGGGAAAAUUGUGAACGAGGAUUGCUCCAUUAUCAGCGAUGUCUACAUUGAAGACGGAAGAAUUAAAGAAGUCGGAUUAAACCUCCAAAUCCCUGCUGGAGUUACCGUUAUAGAUGCCACAGAUAAACUGGUGAUACCGGGUGGUAUCGAUACCCAUACCCACAUGGAGUUGGCAUUUAUGGGCACCAAAGCAGUAGAUGAUUUCCAUAUUGGAACUAAGGCUGCCCUGGCAGGAGGGACCACCAUGAUCCUAGACUUUGUGAUCCCCCAGAGAGGCACGUCUCUGCUGGAGGCCUAUGAUAGGUGGAGGGUCACGGCUGACGCCAAGGUCUGCUGCGACUACUCCCUGCAUGUGGCAGUCACAUGGUGGAGCGACAAGGUCAAAAAGGAAAUGGAGACUUUGGCCAAAGAGAAAGGUGUCAACUCCUUCAAGAUGUUCAUGGCAUACAAGGAUGUGUUCAUGCUUCAAGACCAUGAGCUGUAUGCUGCGUUUUCCCAAUGCAAAGAGAUUGGAGCCAUAGCCCAGGUGCACGCAGAGAAUGGAGACCUUAUUGCAGAGGUAUUCCAAAACAUUUCUGACCACAACACAGUCAAUAUGGCUCAAACCAGGGGUUUGUUCAGUCUACUUCAACUUCUGCGACGUUGUGUAACGGUUUGUAUUGAACCACACAUUGCCUCCAAAUGGUACACACCAUUCAUCAACAGCAUUUGAGGGGGCUAAGAAGAUGCUGUCCCUGGGCAUCACAGGUCCGGAGGGUCAUGAGUUGUGUCGUCCUGAGGAGGUGGAGGCUGAAGCCACCCAGAGAGCCAUCACCAUCGCCCACGCUGUGAACUGCCCGCUCUAUGUUGUCCACGUCAUGAGCAAGUCUGCCGCUAAGGUGGUGUCCAACGCACGCAGAAAUGGUGAGGUGGGCCUGACAAUGCCUGCUGGGAGGAACUGUAGGUGGGAAAGAAUGACAGAGACAGAGAGAGUGAGAGAGAAUGAGAGAGAGAGAGACAGACAGAGACAGAGAGAGUGAGAGAGAGGCUCAACAUGACAUGGAUGGUGUUCUGUGUUAUGUGUGCAUGUUUUUGGGAUGUUUUUGCCACAACAGGCCGUGUGGUGUUUGGAGAGCCCAUAGCAGCAGGACUGGGUACAGAUGGCACCCACUGCUGGCACAAAGACUGGGCCCACGCUGCCAAGUUCGUCAUGGGCCCACCUCUGAGGCCCGACCCCAGCACCCCGGGAUACCUUAUGGACCUACUGGCAAAUGAUGACCUCAGCGUGACUGGGACAGACAACUGCACAUUCUCUGUGUGUCAGAAAGCCCUGGGCAAAGAUGACUUUACAAAGAUCCCCAAUGGAGUCAACGGAGUGGAGGACAGGAUGUCUGUCAUUUGGGAGAAGGGCGUUGUCAGUUAGGCCUCUCAUUCUUCAUAUCACAUCAUUCUUUAUUAUACACACUAUAGGCCAGUUUCCCGGACAGAUUAAGCCUAUAGCCCUACACCAAAAAGCAUACUCAUGGAGAUUCUCCACUGAAAAGGAUGUUUUUGUUGUUGUCCAGGACAAGGGUACAGGUCCUACAAAAAUGAGUGGUACUAUUCUUAGACGGUUGAUUAAGUUCUAUAGUAGGACUUAAAAGGUGACAAGUGACAUUUCUGCUGUGAGAAGAGAAGAUAACAAUUUAUAUUAUGCUAUUUAUUAUGUGCAUCAAGGAAGUUUUUAUCAGUCAGAAUCAAUCCAAACUGUCAUAGUGGAUAAGGCAGCUGGCUAGUUUUCUUUCUGUCCUUCUCUUUCCAUUUCUUUCUUCCUCCCCUACGUCUUUCUGCCCUUCUCUCAGGAUCGGUUGACCAGGAGGCUAUUGCAAAAAUUAACAUUGUAAAACGCUGGCAAAAAAUGACACGUUUUGAUAUUUGGAGUGAAACUUUGAAUCGCUUACUGCACCGUUAAGCAUUGCACUUUGGUCAAGUUAAUUAUGUCAGUAAAUAUGUCAAUAUUUUUGUCAUUCAUAUCCAGAAUACUGAAACUCAGUAUUUUGUGUAAUUACUUUCCGCAGCAUAGCGGGAAAAUGGACGAGAAUCGAUUCGUAGCUGUCACCAGCAGCAAUGCAGCGAAAAUCUUCAACUUCUACCCCCAGAAGGGAAAGAUCGCUAAGGGAUGUGAUGCUGAUGUGGUCAUAUGGGACCCUAAGGCAACCAGGAAGAUCUCUGCAGCUACGCACCACCAGGCUGUGGAUUACAACAUCUUUGAGGGCAUGGAAUGCCACGGUGUUCCCGUGGUGACCAUCUCCAGAGGGAAGGUGGUCUAUGAGAGAGGUCAGCUGAAGACACAGCCAGGACAGGGCCGCUUUGUCCCCAGACAGCCCUACGCAGAGUUCAUCUACAAACGAGUCAACCAGAGGGAACAGGUGGGACAGCCUAGUCCUGUAAUCAGGAAGCCUUAUGAUGGUGAAAUCAUCGCCAUAUAAAGGAAUGGAUCUCAUCAUGAAAGAGACUGUUUAGCUCAGGAUCUACAUGCUGGACCAAGAUAAAAUGUAUGUUUGUUUGAAUGCAGAUGCCAGCAAUGUUUUGAUGCUGAUGAAUAUUAUGUUGCCAAACUAUUUUGUACAAUUUAUACAAUUGCCUAACAUGUAUUAUGUUAUUACUAUGUGAAAUAAACACUUGCAUAGUUAUAUUUGAUGAUGAUGGUGAUGAUGAUUUAAACACUUAACUUCCAACAAUA